GGAAACCCUUGCUUGACUUUAAACUUAAAUCCUGAAGAAACCAGUGUUCCAGCACGGAAGCUGCAUCUGGAGACAGGGUACACAAUUUGCAGAUAAUUUAAUUUUUCAUAACUGAAGCCUGUGAUAAGGUACCCCCUCUCCCACAUACAGCCUCUUAACCUAAGAACAGAGAAGACUGCAAUUAAGUAAUAAAAAGUCCAUUGAUUCAAGAUGGGUCGAAGAAGGUUCCAGAUGCUACCAGGAUGCCAACCAGACUUCCCUGGACAGAGGACCGUCCUGGAGCUCUGAUUCCCCAGAACCCCACUCCACUAGGGAAAGAGAAAGACAGGCUGGGAGUUUGGACCGACCUGUCAAUGUCCAUGUUUAACGGGGAAGCAAUUACAGAAGCCAAAUCUUCCACCUUCUGCAUCCCACAACAACCUUGGGUUCAUAUUCCCGAGGGUUAAAGUAUAGGAAAGCUAUCAGGGAAGGGGAUGGGAUACUGAGUUCUGGUGGUGGGAAUUGUGUGCAGUUGUACCCCUCUUAUCCUAUGGUUUAGUCAAUGUUUCCGUUUUAUAAAAAUAAAAUAAAAUAAAAUAAAAUAAAAACAAGUAUUUUGUAAGCUAUUAUUUCCCUAAUAAAUUAUUUGGAAAAUGUAUAAUUAAAUCUUCUAUAUUGACUUUAAUCUGUUAAAUAUUUACAUAGUCCCUCUGGCUUUGCCUAUCAAUUUGCAAA